CCUACGGGUGGCAGCAGUGAGGAAUAUUGGUCAAUGGGCGUAAGCCUGACCCAGCAAAGCCGCGUGAGGGAUGAAGGUUCUCUGGAUCGUAAACCUCUUUUUUAAGGGAGUAAAGUGUGGGACGUGUCCUAUUUUGUAUGUACCUUAUGAAUAAGCAUCGGCUAACUCCGUGCCAGCAGCCGCGGUAAUACGGAGGAUGCGAGCGUUAUCCGGAUUUAUUGGGGUUAAGGGGUGAGUAGGCGGCCUUUUAAGUAAGAGGUGAAAGUCUGGGGCUAAACCACAGAAUUGCCGGUGAAACUGGGGGGCGUGAGUAGGGGAGAGGCAGGCGGAAUGCGGGGUGUAGCGGUGAAAUGCGUAGAUAUCAGGCAGAACCCCGAUUGCGAAGGCAGCCUGCUAAGCCAUGACUGACGCUGAGGCACGAAAGCGUGGGGAUCAAACAGGAUUAGAUACCCGUGUAGUC
rnacentral:rRNA from 1 species